rnacentral:rRNA from 1 species
GGGUUGUGAGGUUAAGCGACUAAGCGUACACGGUGGAUGCCCUGGCAGUCAGAGGCGAUGAAGGACGUGCUAAUCUGCGAUAAGCGUCGGUAAGGUGAUAUGAACCGUUAUAACCGGCGAUUUCCGAAUGGGGAAACCCAGUGUGAUUCGUCACACUAUCGUUAACUGAAUACAUAGGUUAACGAAGCGAACCGGGGGAACUGAAACAUCUAAGUACCCUGAGGA